GAUGUUUCUGUGGUGUAGUGGUUAUCACGUUUGCUUUACACGCAAAAGGUCUCCGGUUCGAUCCCGGGCAGGAACAUUUAAUUGUUUUUAUAUUUUUGCUGUUAUUAAAAGCUAAUGCACCAAAAUGUUUUCAUCAGCUAAUAAUAAACAUAGGAUGUUUCUGUGGUGUAGUGGUUAUCACGUUUGCUUUACACGCAAAAGGUCUCCGGUUCGAUCCCGGGCAGGAACAA
rnacentral:tRNA from 1 species